CAGAGCUACACAGACCCGGUGGGGACAGGGAGCGAGGAAGAGGAGGCUGAGGAGAUGGUGGAGGAUGAGGCGGCGGAGUCACACACUGUCAAUGGACCAACAGCCUGAGAGCAUGGAGGAGGAAGCAACGUGACCUGUCCAAGUCAGGUUAAGUCACAGCAUGGCGGAGGAGAAAUGGGGAUGAGAUUUGUCCAGGAGGGUAGAGCGUAUGCCCGUCGAAGAGGGCGGCCGGCAAUCCGCCUACCUCCGAGAGUGUCAAAACUAAGUUUGGAACUUAAAGGUUAUUUAAAUGGUUUAUCAAAUAAAUGCUGUGGCCAACCCCAGUUGUCCAGCAAAA